UUACAGUGUAAUUUUUAAGAAGCAGUUAAAAAGGUAUAUUGUUUUGUAAAUAGGGGAAUUUAAAAAGAAUUAGUCAAACAUAGAAAAACUUAUUAACAGUCAAUCUCAUGAUUUUCAGGUAAAACAUUAAAUAAAAUGAGUUGUACAUAAAGCUGCAAUGUAAAACUGAAGCAUUGUUAGGAGGAUGAUUUGGAUAUAAGCGUGAGAACCACAAACUAAUAUAAUGGUUACCUAGGUAACAA
rnacentral:lncRNA from 1 species